UCACUGCUGAUAGAUCAUAAGGUGUUACAAUGACUCAGGUCAGCCUGUUAAACUGACUGAUCUUUUCUUUCUUCUGUGCUUUCAGAUCCAUGAAUCACUACAAGGAACAGGUCCUGCCAAAACAAAGGAGAAAAUGGGGAACCACACCACGGCAGGACCAUUUUAUUCCUGAAAUACAAGACCAUAACUAGGGCAAGGAAGCUGCCUGGGUGCGGUCCCAGCAGUGCCGCUGAAGGAGGAGGAAAGCCCGAGUCAGGCAUACUGUCUUUGUGCCCUCUGAAUGAGCAACAGCGGUUUGCAGAGAGCUGCUGGAGUUAAGGUGGUCUUAACAGAAGACUGUGUCCCAUUUUAAGCAGAAACAGUCAUUUUGGUUCUGUAAUCUUGCAGUUACCCUCCCAUAACUGGAUUGCCCGGUUUACAGCUGCCAUCAAAGCCUUCUUAAAAACAUAAUUCAAACCACAAAAAAAGA